AGAUGUGAGAGCAAUCUGGCUGAGACAUCUGUCACCUCUUUGUUCGUCAGUACUGACUCUUCUGAGCUGACUGAUGAGGCAGAUGCCCCUCUUCCUUCCUCACGGCACCAUGUGUGCCGUUCCCCACGAUGCUGCAUACGUGGAAGUACUGGCAAGCAAGCAAGAAGAGAAACCAUCACCAUGAGCAAGACUGUCUAAGGAAAGUGGAGUGCAAGGAGGAGGGGUCCUGGGAGCUAGUGUUAGGGUACACUAACGU
rnacentral:sRNA from 1 species